UUGCUGGGUGGAUUAGUGGCGAACGGGUGAGUAACACGUGAGUAACCUGCCCUUGACUCUGGGAUAAGCGUUGGAAACGACGUCUAAUACCGGAUACGAGCUUCCACCGCAUGGUGAGUUGCUGGAAAGAAUUUUGGUCAAGGAUGGACUCGCGGCCUAUCAGCUUGUUGGUGAGGUAACGGCUCACCAAGGCGACGACGGGUAGCCGGCCUGAGAGGGUGACCGGCCACACUGGGACUGAGACACGGCCCAGACUCCUACGGGAGGCAGCAGUGGGGAAUAUUGCACAAUGGGCGAAAGCCUGAUGCAGCAACGCCGCGUGAGGGACGACGGCCUUCGGGUUGUAAACCUCUUUUAGCAGGGAAGAAGCGAAAGUGACGGUACCUGCAGAAAAAGCACCGGCUAACUACGUGCCAGCAGCCGCGGUAAUACGUAGGGUGCAAGCGUUGUCCGGAAUUAUUGGGCGUAAAGAGCUCGUAGGCGGUUUGUCGCGUCUGCUGUG
rnacentral:rRNA from 1 species